rnacentral:rRNA from 1 species
AACGCUGGCGGCAGGCCUAACACAUGCAAGUCGAGCGGAUGAAGGGAGCUUGCUCCCUGAUUUAGCGGCGGACGGGUGAGUAAUGCCUAGGAAUCUGCCUGGUAGUGGGGGAUAACGUUCCGAAAGGAACGCUAAUACCGCAUACGUCCUACGGGAGAAAGCAGGGGACCUUCGGGCCUUGCGCUAUCAGAUGAGCCUAGGUCGGAUUAGCUAGUUGGUGAGGUAAUGGCUCACCAAGGCGACGAUCCGUAACUGGUCUGAGAGGAUGAUCAGUCACACUGGAACUGAGACACGGUCCAGACUCCUACGGGAGGCAGCAGUGGGGAAUAUUGGACAAUGGGCGAAAGCCUGAUCCAGCCAUGCCGCGUGUGUGAAGAAGGUCUUCGGAUUGUAAAGCACUUUAAGUUGGGAGGAAGAGCAGUAAGCUAAUACCUUGCUGUUUUGACGUUACCGACAGAAUAAGCACCGGCUAACUUCGUGCCAGCAGCCGCGGUAAUACGAAGGGUGCAAGCGUUAAUCGGAAUUACUGGGCGUAAAGCGCGCGUAGGUGGUUCGUUAAGUUGGAUGUGAAAGCCCCGGGCUCACCUGGGAACUGCAUC